rnacentral:rRNA from 1 species
GACGAACGCUGGCGGCGUGCUUAACACAUGCAAGUCGAACGGAAAGGCCCGGCUUUUUGGGGGUGCUCGAGUGGCGAACGGGUGAGUAACACGUGAGUAACCUGCCCUUGACUUUGGGAUAACUUCAGGAAACUGGGUCUAAUACCGGAUAAGAGCUCCUGCUGCAUGGUGGGGGUUGGAAAGUUUCGGCGGUUGGGGAUGGACUCGCGUCUUAUCAGCUUGUUGGUGGGGUAGUGGCUUACCAAGGCUUUGAGGGGUAGCCGGCCUGAGAGGGUGACCGGACAAACUGGGCUGGAGCUGAGGCACAGACUCGUCCGGGAGGCAGGAGUGGGGUAUAUAGUACUAUGCGAGGAAGGCUGAUGCAGGAACGCAGCGUGCGGGAUGAGGGCAAUCGGGUUGUAAACCGAUUUCGUCUGUGCCGAAGCGUGAGUGACGGUAACGGGUAAAGAAGCACCGGCUAACUACGUG